rnacentral:lncRNA from 1 species
GCAUACGACAACAAUGAUAUUCGAAAAGUUGUUUCUUAAACUCCGCCCUCGUAAAACAACCACUCCUUGGCUGCUACAGCUGCUGGAAGCGACACAGGUGUCAGUACGCUUAUUAGCGUAGACCCACAAAAAAUGAUCUUCCUCCGAGAGUUGUAUCUUUGAGCGUCAAAAGCAUGUAUCUGUUGUGAUGGGAUUCGACACCACUGACGCCCCAUUUGGUCCAUUUCCAGCGUGUAUCUGAUCUGUAAAAAAUGAAGUGAAGCAAUAAAUAUGAAGGCCAAAUUAGUAAGAUGACAAAAUGCAGAUAAACUGAAAACUGUAUGAACAAACUUGCUAACCUACCUGGGAUUUCUUGACAAACUAAGCAACUAGGAUGGACGGCUUUAUUCGAGAAGAUCGAACAAGGACUGAAGUAGCUGAAGGUCUGAAUACUCAUAAAUAAGAAAACAAUCUAGAUAAGCAGAACAAAUUUUUCGUGGUUGUAGCCUGUGGUGGACUUAGGUCUGAAACAAUGAAUACUAAAUUAAGACUGAACAGUGAAUACUAACUAACCUACCUAUGUGGUAACACACAAAACUGAACAAAAUGACACCUAACACUGAAACUAAUAACAUAACUAAAAAUGACACUAACCCCUGAGAGUACUUAAAAUGACACUAGUGUGGGAGAACUUGUUGAGUAAGUGUGGGACAACUUUGGCUCGGAGAUGUGAAAUAUAACAUACAGGUACAAAAAUAAAGGUAAGAAAAUGAUCAGGACUCAUUGGAAAAUGACAGGGUGAGUAAGCACUAGGGACUCAGACUGAUUGACUAAAAACUGAUAGACUAAAAAAGGAAAUGAAUGCAACAAGUAAUGACUAAAUGAGAAAAAGAAAUCGAAGAAAAAGCUAAAGUUUAUAUAAUUCUAUCAGCUAAAAGGACUAAGUUUGUAUCUGAAGUAGGAAAAAACUGAAUUCAUACACAAACUAAAGAAGAAAUGAAAUGUUUAACUGAACAGGACAACUAUCAUGUUAUCAUAAAACAUACAUGGAGGUGUUGGUAAUAUCCACAUCAUAGCCUUGUAAAAAUGAGUGAUGAAUGAAAAAUGAAACAUAACAAGAACUAGAUUGUAGUGAUAAUUGAAUAGCUGACCAUGACAGUGAACUAGACUAUAGUGAUAAAGAAAAAUUUGAAACAGAACUAUAGUGAUAAAUUGAACAUAUUCAAAACUAAGUUAC